CAACGAUUGACUACAAGACAAAUGUUACGUACUCAUGUGCAAGAGGAUACAUCCUUACAAAUGGCAAUUUAAUAAGAACAUGUCAAGCUGACGGCCAAUUGGAUGGUAUUUCCCCAACUUGUACUCGAGAGACAAUGUGGCGGUACGUUCUGAAGCCUAUUACGGUGACGGUGAUGGCCCGAUUUGGCUGGACGAUUUUACUUGUCAAGGAAACGAAACUGUGAUUGAUUUGUGUUUGUUCAGCCAAUGGGGCCAGCACGACUGCGUACAUUCUGAAGAUGGCGGAGUUACAUGUAGUUCAAGACAGAUUAGACUACGUAACGGUUCAACGCAAUUAGAGGGUCGUGUUGAAGUUUUUCACAAUGGAAAAUGGGGUACGGUCUGUGGGAAUGGUAAAGACACAAACUUUGCCAAGGUCGUAUGUCGACAGCUUGAAUAUGCUACGGACAAUGUGGCGGUACGAUCGAGUGAAUAUUUCGGUGAAGGCAGUGACCAGAUUUGGCUGGGCGAUGUUAAAUGUCAAGGAAACGAGACUAUGAUCGAUGUAUGUAUGUCCAGCCCAUGGGGACAGCACAACUGCGGACAUAAUGAAGA